AAUCUUGGACAAUGGGGGAAAUCCUGAUCCAGCCAUCCCGCGUGUAUGAUGAAGGCCAUCGGGUUGUAAAGUAUUUUUGGCAGAGAAGAAAACAUAUCGCCUAAUACGAGAUACUGCUGACGGUAUCUGCAGAAGAAGCACCGGCUAACUACGUGCCAGCAGCCGCGGUAAUACGUAGGGUGCAAGCGUUAAUCGGAAUUACUGGGCGUAAAGCGUGCGUAGGCGGUUCGGAAAGAAAGAUGUGGAAUCCCAGGGCUCAACCUUGGAACUGCAUUUUUAACUGCCGAGCUAGAGUAUGUCAGAGGGGGGUAGAAUUCCACGUGUAGCAGUGAAAUGCGUAGAUAUGUGGAGGAAUACCGAUGGCGAAGGCAGCCCCCUGGGAUAAUACUGACACUCAGACACGAAAGCGUGGGGAGCAAACA
rnacentral:rRNA from 1 species